UACGGAGGGGGCGAGCGUUAUUCGGAAUUACUGGGCGUAAAGGGCUCGUAGGCGGCCAACUAAGUCAGACGUGAAAUCCCUCGGCUUAACCGGGGAACUGCAUCUGAUACUGGAUGGCUUGAAUCCGGGAGAGGGAUGCGGAAUUCCAGGUGUAGCGGUGAAAUGCGUAGAUAUCUGGAGGAACACCGGUGGCGAAGGCGGCAUCCUGGACCGGCAUUGACGCUGAGGAGCGAAAGCCAGGGGAGCAAACGGG
rnacentral:rRNA from 1 species